CAUUAAGCCAUGCAUGUCUAAGUAUAAAUAGUAUACAGUGAAACUGCGAAUGGCUCAUUAAAACAGUUAUAGUUUAUUUGAUAAUUGAAUUAUACAUGGAUAACCGCGGUAAUUCUAGAGCUAAUACAUGCAGUAAAACCUGAUUUAAGGGUUGUAUUUAUUAGAUAUCAAACCAAUAUUCCUUCUGGUCUAUUGUGAUGAUUCAUAAUAACUGAUCGAAGCUUAGCUCGUCUAAGCUAAAUCAUUCAAGUUUCUGCCCUAUCAGCUUUCGAUGGUAGUGUAUUGGACUACCAUGGCAGUCACGGGUAACGGGGAAUUAGGGUUCGAUUCCGGAGAGGGAGCCUGAGAAACGGCUACCACAUCUAAGGAAGGCAGCAGGCGCGUAAAUUACCCAAUCCUGACUCAGGGAGGUAGUGACAAGAAAUAACAACUCGGGAUCCUUCGGGAUUUACGAGAUUGCAAUGAGAACAAUUUAAACCACUUAUCUAGGAACAAUUGGAGGGCAAGUCUGGUGCCAGCAGCCGCGGUAAUUCCAGCUCCAAUAGCGUAUAUUAAUGUUGUUGCAGUUAAAAAGCUCGUAGUUGAAUUUCUGGCUAAUUUGCACGCUGGCUUCGGUCGUGUGUAGUUUAGUCAUCCGUUAGAGAACUUGAGCCGUCCUUCAAUGGUCACUUAAGAGAUCUAACAUUUUACUUUGAAAAAAUUAGAGUGUUCAAGGCAGGCAAUCGUCAUGAAUACUAUAGCAUGGAAUAAUGGAAUAGGACUUUAGUUCAUUUUAUUGGUUAUUGAACUUUAGUAAUGAU
rnacentral:rRNA from 1 species